rnacentral:rRNA from 2 species
GGUUUAAUUCGACGCAACGCGAAGAACCUUACCAGGUCUUGACAUUGAUCGCGAUCUGCAGAAAUGCGGAGUUCUUCUUCGGAAGACGAGAAAACAGGUGGUGCACGGCUGUCGUCAGCUCGUGUCGUGAGAUGUUGGGUUAAGUCCCGCAACGAGCGCAACCCCUAUCAUUUGUUNCCAGCACGUAAAGGUGGGGACUCAAAUGAGACCGCCGCGGACAACGCGGAGGAAGGCGGGGACGACGUCAAGUCAUCAUGCCCCUUAUGACCUGGGCUACACACGUACUACAAUGGGUGUCAACAAAGAGAAGCGAAACCGCGAGGAAGAGCAAACCUCAAAAACACACCCCCAGUUCAGAUCGCAGGCUGCAACCCGCCUGCGUGAAGCAGGAAUCGCUAGUAAUNGCGGGUCAGCAU